CUGUGGGUGAAUAGGAUUCAUUCCCUGGGAGAGAGGCGUUGGACGGGAACGAAGGCUGGGAGCUGUAGGCUGGCACGGAGUACACCGAAGAGGGCCGGGCCCUGGUAGGAGAGCCAGCACCAGGUGGAAGGCCUUUCAAGCUCACUGCAGGAACAACAGCCCUGGUGCAAUUCCAGGAAGGAAGCAGAACUCCUGGAGUCAGCAUGGCAGGAAAUGUUCUCUCCAGGCUCAGCAGCAGCCCAGGAGCUGCUAACCCUGAUGUGAGAAGGCCAGGCUGGUGUUUUGGUGUGUGUCCCCUCUCUCCAUGUUUCCCGGAUCCAUGUGCUCAGCAUUUGCCGGGAAGGACAUGUCUUGCUGUUCACCAUGCAUUCUAGCAGGGGCAAUGGAGAAUCCCUUUCAGCUGCAGCAUCCUUUGGCCUUCAGACAACUGAAAUAUCAGUUAUGGAACAGCAACAGGCAGGAGUCAAAGUAUGUGGAGCUAUUUCUAUGGCUGAAGAGAAGACAGCUGGUCAGCCACAAAUAUCAUUCUUACAAGUGCAGCUCCAAUAGCCACGUUAUGAAUUAAAAGCAGAAGAAUGCAGCUAUCACGUGAGGAACACUCAGCUGCUCCCCUGCUGAACCAGGAGCACGAGCUGUGCACUCUGGGGAAGUGCCUGAAAUACCAGUAUGACACAGCAAAACUGGGCUGGUGCUGUUGGUGCUGAACCUGUCAAGAUACCAGCUGCUAGUGGGCACCUUGAAGAGCUCCACCCCAUUUUCAGCUGCUGCUGUCUCUAUGGCUUUCCUGCUCCCCUCAGUCAGGACUCUUUAUUAUUCACAUACCUGAAGUGUGUAAUUUCUUUUUAUUCCAAGAUUUCUCCUGUAUCUAGAAUUUCCCACAAUCAGGAGUGCUCUUUGAUGAUUAAAAUGUCAAGUGUUGAGCAAUUCCUCACAUCCACAGAAAUAUUAAACUUAGGAAAUACUGUUCCAUGCUAUGUGAAGAACUUAGCCUGAGUGUUCACUGUUAUCUGAGCACUCCAGGGAAUCCAGGACCCCCUGGCACCAGUUCAGAGGCAGCAGGGACUGGGGGCUGUCCAGAGGCUGCUCAGGAAGGUCUGUGAAGGCUUCAGGUGGGAACUGUGAGUGAGCAAGGUCUGGGUGCUGUGCUGGCCUGGUGAGACAUCACCUCCCAAAGACACAGGUUUGUGGGGAAAGGGUGGGACAGGGACUUUGGUGGUGGCUGUGGGAUGUUGCUGGGGCUGCAGCAGCCAUGGAUGCUCACAGUUCCAGUCAGUUUCUUAACCAGUAAAGAAUAAAUGGCUGCAUACACAGUGGCUGUGCUCAUGUGAGUGUGGGGAAAAGGUAUUUUUAGAGAAAGCAAAUGGGAGGCUCAGCCCUCAUCCUGUGUACACUGUAGUGCUUUUAAUUUAAACUAAAUCAAAUCUCCUUCUGCCAGCUGGUGACUCCUUCCCACAUAACUAGAUCUCCUUUGAUUUAAUGUGAAAGCACUCCAGUUACAACCCAGAACUGUUCCAUGCUAUGAAACAAAGUAUGGUAAAUCAGGAAUAACUGAGAAACUUACUUCAAAAAAUGUUAUCCCCAUGCAGCUAAAAAGCUGGAGUGGAUGCACCUGUUACUUGCUGUGGCUGCAAGUGGAUGCACAGACAGCAACUGGGACUCAGCUGACCAGCUGGUGCUUUUGGGUGCAUGUUUGAACUCUAUAAUAAGCAGAUCAGGGUUGAGGAAUGUUGAACCUGGUAACAAGGUCAGUGAGGUGUAGUUUAAAGUGAGGCAAAUGGACUUGAGGACACUCUGCACUCCAGGUUCUCUAAUGGCACAGUGAGGAAUUAUCAGGAUUUCUCAUCAUGUUUUCAUCAUCUGUACCAGUGUUUUUUGUUAAGGAUGAUGUGUAUCUUAAUCUUGUCCUGGAGUUAAUUUAUUCUGCAGCCAGGAGUACAAACUUUUAUCUGGGACAUGUGUCUAAGUGCUGUGCAUCAGGUAUAGCCUGACUGAGCAACCAAUCUGACAA